AUGACAUUUAAUUUUGUAUUUUCAUAUAGAUGGCCACUUUAAAAUGUAGUAUGGUAGGUUGAACUCAUUGAAGUUAAUUAAAACACUUUUCACAAGAUUUUUUUUUUGUCUUAAUCUGCAGGAAUAAAUGAGAAAUAAUAAGAACUCUACUAGUCCUACAAAUGAACUGUAUGGCUUGUUGGGCCCUUUUAAUAAAUUCUGAAGCAAAAUGCUAAAAGGAAAAGUUAAGGGCCCAUUCUGAUAACAGAUGAAGGUUUCUGCAUCUCUGUGUGUGUAUUAGUGGUAUUAAAGAAUGAUAUUGCCAUUUUUCUAUUUUGUGUAAAAAAUGAAAGACAACAUCCUUUAGAAGUAGUUGUAAUCAUCCAAAUGUAAUACU
rnacentral:lncRNA from 1 species